rnacentral:rRNA from 1 species
UACGUAGGGUGCAAGCGUUGUCCGGAAUUAUUGGGCGUAAAGAGCUCGUAGGCGGUCUGUCGCAUCUGCUGUGAAAACUCGGGGCUUAACCCCGGGCCUGCAGUGGGUACGGGCAGACUAGAGUGCGGUAGGGGAGACUGGAAUUCCUGGUGUAGCGGUGAAAUGCGCAGAUAUCAGGAGGAACACCGGUGGCGAAGGCGGGUCUCUGGGCCGUAACUGACGCUGAGGAGCGAAAGCAUGGGUAGCGAACAGG